AUCUUAUGGCGAUACCAAUCGUAACAGAUGAAACAGACGUAUCGAAGACGAUCGAUAGAUACAUCCGAACGAAGAUAUAUCAAUCUUGGGUAUAGGACAAAAUGUCGUAUUAUAAAUGCAAUUAUAAAAUUCUGUUUAUAAUCGCUGUACUUCGAAUUGUAGUUAUCGUCUAGAUCUUUUUCCCGUUUCCCCUCUUAUUUUCUUUAUCUUUGCUUUCAACGCACAAAACCCCCUCUGCCUUCGUCGAUCGGUGCCGCGCGCGAAAUCAUUCUGCGCAGAGUCGAGGCGCGUGCGCUGACAAACGAGAAGCAUGUGUAUGUGCGCGUGUGUAUAUAUAUAUGUAGUACAUUAGGUCUCGUACCACAUGUACGAUGAAAGUGCAGCAUAGUCCUACCACACGACGGACAUACACUACGUGUCCGGAAUCGCGAGGGAGAGGAGUCGGCGUAAACGACUCCUAUUCGCAACGCCGAAUCUUCGUAUAGCGAUUUGGUUUAGUUUAUGUCCAACCUUCGGUGGACGCGCUUCUAUUCUUGGCUGACAUACUCUUCGAUGAACGAAGAAAAAUAUGCAGAACGAAACGUGUUUCAGUCAAGACUCUGAUACGACAGAGAAAUAGAAAAAUAGGAGUCGGAUCUUGACUGUGCAAAAGAGGAAA